rnacentral:rRNA from 1 species
UACAGAGGUCUCAAGCGUUGUUCGGAUUCAUUGGGCGUAAAGGGCGCGUAGGCGGCCUGCUAAGUCGAACGUGAAAUCCCCUGGGCUCAACCCAGGAACUGCGUCCGAUACUGGUUGGCUUGAAUCCGGGAGAGGGAUGUGGAAUUCCAGGUGUAGCGGUGAAAUGCGUAGAUAUCGGGAGGAACACCAGUGGCGAAGGCGACUUCCUGGCCUGUUCUUGACGCUGAGGCGCGAAAGCUAGGGUAGCAAACGGG